UCUGGGAAUUUCUCCUACCCCGCAAACCGUCCUACCCGUUGUUCCUGAGCAUGUGCGCGCAUGCGCACAACACAUAAAGUGAAGCAAAGCGCAUCCGGCUGUGAUUUAAUGCUACCCCGUUGUCAUAUUUGCAGGAAAAUAGCUUCGGUGAAGUCUGCUGUCAAGUUACUGGACACGUUGUAUUUGCACAACACUUCUGAAUCCGCAGCUUCGGUGUUUUAAGGCUGUUUCGAUAUGGAGAAGAAGUGGGAAGAGAUUUACGCGUUUAUUUCUGCGGGCUCCAACCCUUCAGGAUAUGACAAGGCUCAGAGGCAAAACCUCAGAAGAUAUGCCUCAAAAUUCCAACAAAAGGAUGGAGAACUCUUUGUUGGAACCAGAAGAGUAGUAAAAACCAUGGAUGAUGCCAGGAAGCUAUUUCAUGAGUUUCAUUCAUCUCCAAUUGGAGGACACACUGGCACACACAAAACGCUAAAUGCAGUGUGUUCCAGAUUUUACUGGUUUGGUAUGAUAGUUGACAUUAAAACAUGGAUUCUGGAAUGUGACCAGUGUCAAAAAGUUGGGAAACCACUGACUGCUGUGCAACCGUUGCAGUGUAUUCAGGUGUCUGAAGUGUGGGAACUUAUUGGUAUAGAUCUUACUGGACCUCUUCCUAAAACGUCAAGCGGCUUCCAGUAUAUACUUACUGCAACUGACUACUUUUCAAAAUGGGUUGAAGCUUUCCCAUUAAAAACGAAAUCUGCAUCUGAGGUAGCCAAUGAGAUGAAAAGACCAAUGACAACAUAAAAAGAGCCCUCCGAAAACUGGUGAAUGACCAGCAGAAUAACUGGGAUCUGUAUCUAGAUCCCACCCUGUUUUCACUGCGGUCAAAAGUACACACCACAACAAAAUACUCACCUUUUUUUCUGAUGUAUGGAAGAGAGGCAGUAUUUCCAUCAGAAGUGCCUGCUCAAGUGCCGGUGAGUGUUUGUCAAAUUCUUUCUAUGUUAGAACUAAGAAUUGAAACCAUUUAAGUAAAAAACCCAGUAAUGUCUUUAUGAAUAUGAUAUCAUCUUGUUUUAAUUGCUAAUAUCUACAAAAUUUUAGAUUUCCAACAUCAUUCUGCCAGACGACAAAAGGUACAGUGACUAUGUACAGUCUGAAAGUGAAGCACAACAUGCAGUUAAAGAAACUGCGCAAGAAAACAUUGCGAAGUCACAAGACAAGCAAAAGGUUGCAUACGCCAAGCAGGUCCUGAAAAAGUACAAAAAUGUUGUGUACAAUGUAGGGGAUCAAAUUCUGCUUCUAAAUAUGAGGAAACGUGGGUGAAAAGGAGGAAGACUUGAACCGGAUUUUUCAGGUCCCUACACAAUUGAUGACAUCAGUGGAAAAUGUGUUGGACCGAAAAACGCUGAGGGAAAUACUUUAAAAAGUCUAUACAGUAUUGACCACAUUAAACCUUAUAGAACAAGCCACCCUGUCCAAGUCUCAACUCCAACUGAACCUGUUGAGAGUAGCCCAUCUUCUGAGAUGCAGCCUUGCAGUCCUCAGCAUCAUCCUGAAGCGCUGCAAAAUAACAGACCCUCUGUCAUACAGUUUGCACCAAAAAUAGCUCAGGUAAAAUCAGUCCAAGCACCAGAAGAGCUUGUACCAGUGACCCCCCAGAAACCCAGCACGCAAGAAAAAGGUGGCAUAGCUAAAAAUCUCAUUCUGACCGGUUGGUCAAUUGUUGCCAGUUUGGCUAGUCGAAUGGAUAGAAUUUUUUUUUUUCUCCCCUCUUGCUAAUUUUGACCUGUUGGUCCAAUUUUGGCUAAUUUCUCCCCUCUGGCAUGGUUAUUUUGUUGGCCCGUUGGCCCUUGUCUGUUUGUGGCCCGUUGGCCAUUGACCGUGAUUUUCAAAUGGCAACUGUUAUUACUAAAGAAACUUAUCAUAUUUUGUUUUUUAGUGAAGUGGCUUUGGGCUGCAAAAGACACCGGGCGUGUGGAGGCAGUCGUUGGGCCAUACAAAUUGUAUGACUCUUCUUUUCGCACACUGGAGGACAGUGGGUGGCUUUCUGAUGAGGUCAUUGAUGGAUACCUGCACUGCCUCAUUAGGAAACAAAAGGCAAG